rnacentral:rRNA from 1 species
CCCUUAGAUGUUCGGGGCCGCACGCGCGCUACACUGAAGGACUCAGCGUGUCUCUCCCCCUAUCCCGAAAGGGAUGGGCAACCCGUUGAACCUCCUUCGUGCUAGGGAUUGGGGUUUGCAAUUAUCCCCCAUGAACGAGGAAUUCCCAGUAAGCGCGAGUCAUCAGCUCGCGUUGAUUACGUCCCUGCCCUUUGUACACACCGCCCGUCGCUACUACCGAUUGGAUGGUUUAGUGAGAUCCUCGGAUUGGACCCGGCAUGGUGGGUUACCGCCGCGCCGGCGUGCCGAGAAGACGAUCAAACUUGAUCAUCUAGAGGAAGUAAAAGUCGUAACA